rnacentral:rRNA from 1 species
UACGUAGGGCGCAAGCGUUGUCCGGAAUUAUUGGGCGUAAAGAGCUCGUAGGCGGCCUGUUGCGUCCGCUGUGAAAUCCCGGGGCUUAACCCCGGGCUUGCAGUGGAUACGGGCAGGCUGGAGGCAGGCAGGGGAGACGGAAUUCCCGGUGUAGCGGUGAAAUGCGCAGAUAUCGGGAGGAACACCGGUGGCGAAGGCGGUUCUCUGGGCCUGUACUGACGCUGAGGAGCGAAAGCGUGGGGAGCGAACAGG